AUUGAACGCUGGCGGCAUGCCUUACACAUGCAAGUCGAACGGCAGCACGGACUUCGGUCUGGUGGCGAGUGGCGAACGGGUGAGUAAUGUAUCGGAACGUGCCCAGUCGUGGGGGAUAACGUAGUGGAAAUUACGCUAAUACCGCAUACGAUCUAUGGAUGAAAGCGGGGGAUCGCAAGACCUCGCGCGAUUGGAGCGGCCGAUAUCAGAUUAGGUAGUUGGUGGGGUAAAGGCCCACCAAGCCAACGAUCUGUAGCUGGUCUGAGAGGACGACCAGCCACACUGGAACUGAGACACGGUCCAGACUCCUACGGGAGGCAGCAGUGGGGAAUUUUGGACAAUGGGCGAAAGCCUGAUCCAGCCAUUCCGCGUGCAGGAUGAAGGCCCUCGGGUUGUAAACUGCUUUUGUACAGAACGAAAAGGUUUCUACUAAUACUAGGAGCUCAUGACGGUACUGUAAGAAUAAGCACCGGCUAACUACGUGCCAGCCGCCGCAGUAA
rnacentral:rRNA from 1 species